AUACGGAGGGUGCGAGCGUUAAUCGGAAUUACUGGGCGUAAAGCGGGUGUAGGCGGCCUGUCAAGUCAGAUGUGAAAGCCCACGGCUCAACCGUGGGAGUGCAUCUGAAACUGGCAGGCUUGAGUACCGGAGAGGGAAGUGGAAUUCCUGGUGUAGGGGUGAAAUCCGUAGAUAUCAGGAGGAACACCGGUGGCGAAGGCGACUUCCUGGACGGAUACUGACGCUGAGACCCGAAAGCGUGGGGAGCAAACAGGAUUAGAAACCCUAGUAGUCC
rnacentral:rRNA from 1 species